AAUAAAGUAAGCUAAAAUUUAAGCUAUUGGGUUCAUACCCCAAAUAUGAUUAAAAUAUCCUUUAUUA
rnacentral:tRNA from 1 species